CAGCCGCCGCGGUAAAACCAGCACCUCAAGUGGUCAGGAUGAUUAUUGGGCCUAAAGCAUCCGUAGCCCGUUUUGUAAGUUUUCGGUUAAAUCCAUGCGCUUAACGUAUGGGCUGCCGGGAAUACUGCAUAACUAGGAAGUGGGAGAGGUAGACGGUACUCGGUAGGAAGGGGUAAAAUCCUUUGAUCUAUUGAUGACCACCUGUGGCGAGGGCGGUCUACCAGAACACGUUCGACGGUGAGGGAUGAAAGCUGGGGGAGCAAACCGGAUUAGAUACCCGGGUAGUCCCAGCUGUAAACUAUGCAAACUCAGUGAUGCAUUGGCUUAUGGCCAAUGCAGUGCUGCAGGGAAGCCGUUAAGUUUGCCGCCUGGGAAGUACGUACGCAAGUAUGAAACUUAAAGGAAUUGGCGGGGGAGCA
rnacentral:rRNA from 1 species